rnacentral:sRNA from 1 species
UCGUUCGCAGCUCGAGCUGCAGUUGAAGUUAAUCGGGAAACUUAAGCAGAAUGAAGAUUAAAGUCGCAUUAUUUUUAAUAAUCGCCUCAAUUGCACUGGCCAGCGGUUUUCGAAUGCCCGACUGUCCGCAUUGGAGUAAAUGUUAGAAGGAUUACAAAGCUGGACGAAUUAUUUACUAGAUGUAAAAUUCGAAAAUUCGAAAAUUCUCUAUUUAUUUAUCACAAAAUAUGUGUGUGUGUGCGUGUCGAGUUGUAUAUUUAGUGUCUAGAAAUGUCAACAGGAUCGGAACUCCCUACAUAGAGUAAAUAAACAGUUUAUUAAUCGAAAUGGAAA